CUCCGGGAGCUGCGCGUUGCCAGCCUGUCCUCUUACAGAUCCGCCCGGCUCCCUCAMCGCACAGAUGGGAGCGUUGUUUAACCCUGUGCCGGAAGGAACGGAGGGAAACGGUGUUUGCCACGGAAAGCCACCCUGCCCACCAACUGUGUAGGUGGUCUCCAAAGGGAGCUGAUGGUGGAUGAAUAAAAAACCAACAUACAGACCUGUGCAUAAAAAGAAAGAGCUUAUGGCAYGAGCGAAAGGGAAUUUUAAGAAUCUGAGAAUCCGAGCAGGAAAAGUAUCWCCCAGGUGUGAUUUAAAAUUUGCAAGUAUUGAAAAAUAGGGCAGAAUUUUUCUUUCUUAAACAGUGCCCACAGGUAGGCCCAGUUAUAUCCGUGUACGUAGGCRGMUCCUUUCACUGGAGGAGAAAGUUCAACACAGGCCUGAAAUUUAGUGAGUCUGUGGAUGCAUUGAAGGAGCUAGAAUCUUCCUUUCUCAGCUACAUUAGUAGGCAUUAAAAAAGAGCACCUUAUUUCUAUCRUAUAAAGUAAAAUAAGAGCACCUUGUUUCUAUCAUUAUCUAUCGUAUAAGUAUUUCUGUCAUAUAAAGGGAGUUUUAAAAUAGGAAGCAGUUUUAUCAAGCAAUUGAUCUUUUUCAGAGGCUUGGUUCUAGCAAAUACCUGACAUAAGACACAUACUGAAGAGGAMGUAGUUACAGCUGUGCACAAUAGUGAGAGUAACAAGUUAGUUGGCAUUGWUUGCCAAGUCACUUCUGGAACAAAAGCCMGUSUUUACAAGUCCCCUGCUCUCGGUUCCCGGCUUUUCCCUGUAUCCCUUUGAGGUGUAAGAACUGCAGGCCCAGCCAGACCUGCCAGGCAGCAGAGCAGGUUGGUGCUGCCUUGCGCAAUGGGCUGCUCCUCGAAAGGAUUAUGGAGGUGAGAGUGCAAAAGGCUCCAAGUGAGAUUUCUGGCACCCAAGGUGAACUUGUGCGUGUAAAAGGAUGGAGAAAUURAUAUUAGUUUAGCUUAAAAGGGAUCAAGACUGUUCUUGUUGUGAAAUGGUUGUGGUUGUACCUUGUAAGGAAUUGAAUGCUGCUAACUUUUAUGUUGUCACGUGGGAUUUUCCAUUGUUGGGGGCAAGUAAAGAUGCCUGGUGGGUUGAAAGGAAUGUAGUGACUGGAGUCACUAUAGUACAUGUACCACAUAUUGCAUAUACUACAUAGUGUGUGCCUAGCAUAUGUACUAUAACRUGAAUUCUGGAGCGCUCCUAGGGCAUGUUCUAAGUUGUGAGCAACAAAUGUGUAGUGAGGUGUGUUUUAACAGCACYUUUUCAGGUUUUUGAGUAAGAUGUCCUUUGCUCCUGCUCGCUCGCAUGCAAUGGCCACACCAGGAAGGCUGCACAUCCUUAUUUUCCCUGAAGGGCCUCGGUAGUUCAGACCGUCCUGGGAUGGGGAACGUGCCUGGACAAGAAGUAGGUCCCAUCGGAGCUUCUCACGGGAGGGUAGUAUGGGUUGUGCUGUGGCACGCUGUGGUYGAACUGAAGCUGGGGCUGUGGCUUGAAAUUGAUACUCAUUGUGUGACCUUCUC